rnacentral:rRNA from 1 species
GUUUCCGUAGGUGAACCUGCUGCUGGAUCAUUACAUGUUACCGUGAUGGUCA